UUAAAAACUAUGAUGAGAAGUAGUAAUUUUUCCUUAAACUGAAAGAGAACGGAAUCCAGUGGCUGUAAGAUUUCGGCAGUUAAAGAAAAUGAAGUCGUCUCUGAGUUUUGCUGACCAGUCAGAUCAUCAGGUAGUUAAUUUUGAUAAUCUGGAUUAAUCAGUAACGGCACAGCAGUCGUUAAUCAAUGAGUGCUUUCUGUAUUUUAGGAAGAACUAAGGUGGUACCGCGAAUUAAUUGCUCUUUCGUCCUUAAC
rnacentral:ncRNA from 1 species